rnacentral:rRNA from 1 species
CAGUCGCCGCGGUAAAACGUAGGUGGCAAGCGUUGUCCGGAAUUAUUGGGCGUAAAGGGCUCGCAGGCGGUUUCUUAAGUCUGAUGUGAAAGCCCCCGGCUCAACCGGGGAGGGUCAUUGGAGACUGGGAAACUUGAGUGCAGAAGAGGAGAGUGGAAUUCCACGUGUAGCGGUGAAAUGCGUAGAGAUGUGGAGGAACACCAGUGGCGAAGGCGACUCUCUGGUCUGUAACUGACGCUGAGGAGCGAAAGCGUGGGGAGCGAACAGGAUUAGAUACCCCGGUAGUCCCUGUCUCUUAUAC